rfam:Schistosoma curassoni strain Dakar, Senegal genome assembly, scaffold: SCTD_contig0017162
CAGCUGACGAGUCCCAAAUAGGACGAAACGCGCGUCCUGGAU